rnacentral:rRNA from 1 species
AGCGAACGCUGGCGGCAGGCCUAACACAUGCAAGUCGAACGAACUCUUCGGAGUUAGUGGCGGACGGGUGAGUAACACGUGGGAACGUGCCUUUAGGUUCGGAAUAACUCAGGGAAACUUGUGCUAAUACCGAAUGUGCCCUUCGGGGGAAAGAUUUAUCGCCUUUAGAGCGGCCCGCGUCUGAUUAGCUAGUUGGUGAGGUAAAGGCUCACCAAGGCGACGAUCAGUAGCUGGUCUGAGAGGAUGAUCAGCCACAUUGGGACUGAGACACGGCCCAAACUCCUACGGGAGGCAGCAGUGGGGAAUCUUGCGCAAUGGGCGAAAGCCUGACGCAGCCAUGCCGCGUGGAUGAUGAAGGUCUUAGGAUUGUAAAAUUCUUUCACCGGGGACGAUAAUGACGGUACCCGGAGAAGAAGCCCCGGCUAACUUCGUG